rnacentral:rRNA from 1 species
UACGUAGGUGGCAAGCGUUAUCCGGAAUUAUAGGGCGUAAAGAGCGCGCAGGUGGUUGAUUAAGUCUGAUGUGAAAGCCCACGGCUUAACCGUGGAGGGUCAUUGGAAACUGGUCGACUUGAGUGCAGAAGAGGGAAGUGGAAUUCCAUGUGUAGCGGUGAAAUGCGUAGAGAUAUGGAGGAACACCAGUGGCGAAGGCGGCUUCCUGGUCUGUAACUGACACUGAGGCGCGAAAGCGUGGGGAGCAAACAGGAUUAGAUACCCCGUA